UCCCUGAUGUUAGCGGCGGACGGGUGAGUAACACGCUGUGUAACCUGCCUGUAAGACUGGGAUAACUCCGGGAAACCUGGGGCUAAUACCGGAUGGUUGUUUGAACCGCAUAGGUUCAAACAUAAAAGGUGGCUUCGGCUACCACUUACAGAUGGACCCGCGGCGCAUUAGCUAGUUGGUGAGGUAAUGGCUCACCAAGGCAACGAUGCGUAACCGACCUGAGAGGGUGAUCGGCCACACUGGGACUGAGACACGGCCCAGACUCCUACGGGAGGCAGCAGUAGGGAAUCUUCCGCAAUGGACGAAAGUCUGACGGAGCAACGCCGCGUGAGUGAUGAAGGUUUUCGGAUCGUAAAGCUCUGUUGUUAGGGAAGAACAAGUACCGUUCGAAUAGGGCGGUACCUUGACGGUACCUAACCAGAAAGCCACGGCUAACUACGUGCCAGCAGCCGCGGUAAUACGUAGGUGGCAAGCGUUGUCCGGAAUUAUUGGGCGUAAAGGGCUCGCAGGCGGUUUCUUAAGUCUGAUGUGAAAGCCCCCGGCUCAACCGGGGAGGGUCAUUGGAAACUGGGGAACUUGAGUGCAGAAGAGGAGAGUGGAAUUCCACGUGUAGCGGUGAAAUGCGUAGAAAUGUGGAGGAACACCAGUGGCGAAGGCGACUCUCUGGUCUGUAACUGACGCUGAGGAGCGAAAGCGUGCGGAGCGAACAGGAUUAGAUACCCUGGCUAGUCCACGCCGUAAACGAUGAGUGCUAAGUGUUAGGGGGUUUCCGCCCCUUAGUGCUGCAGCUAACGCAUUA
rnacentral:rRNA from 1 species